GAGGGUAGAGCUCAGUGAUCGAGCACGUGCUUAGCAUGCAUAAGGUCCUGGGUUCAACCCCCAGGACUUCCA
rnacentral:tRNA from 1 species